GAUGAAGAGCUAUGAUGCCUUUGGCAAGAUUCUAGAAGACCUGUCAAAUAUGUAUCAAAUUCCAGGAAACAGUGAAAUGAAAGCUAAGGGAUAUCUUGCUUUGCAGGCCCUUGAAAAAGACCUUUAUUCAAUGUCUCUUCUUGACAGAACACAGGAUCUAAACAGAGUUACUGAAGUACUUAAUGGAAAAGUAGGACACCUGGUGCCAAGAACUGGAGGUGAUUUUUUGCUUUUUUUUUCUCCCCCCUUUUUUUCUCGCUCCCCCA